AUGAACGCUGGCGGCGUGCCUAAUACAUGCAAGUCGAGCGAACAGACGAGGAGCUUGCUCCUCUGACGUUAGCGGCGGACGGGUGAGUAACACGUGGAUAACCUACCUAUAAGACUGGGAUAACUUCGGGAAACCGGAGCUAAUACCGGAUAAUAUAUUGAACCGCAUGGUUCAAUAGUGAAAGACGGUUUUGCUGUCACUUAUAGAUGGAUCCGCGCCGCAUUAGCUAGUUGGUAAGGUAACGGCUUACCAAGGCGACGAUGCAUAGCCGACCUGAGAGGGUGAUCGCCCACACUGGAACUUAGACACGGUCCAGACUCCUACGGGAGGCAGCAGUAGAGAAUCUUCCGCAAUGGGCGAAAGCCUGACGGAGCAACGCCGCGUGAGUGAUGAAGGUCUUCCGAUCGUAAAACUCUGUUAUUAGUGAAGAACAAAUGUGUAAGUAACUAUGCACGUCUUGACGGUACCUAAUCAGAAAGCCACGGCUAACUACGUG
rnacentral:rRNA from 1 species